rnacentral:rRNA from 1 species
CCUACGGGAGGCAGCAGUGAGGAAUAUUGGUCAAUGGACGAGAGUCUGAACCAGCCAAGUAGCGUGAAGGAUGACUGCCCUAUGGGUUGUAAACUUCUUUUAUAAAGGAAUAAAACGAGGCACGUGUGCCUUUUUGCAUGUACUUUAUGAAUAAGGAUCUGCUAACUCCGUGCCAGCAGCCGCGGUAAUACGGAGGAUCCGAGCGUUAUCCGGAUUUAUUGGGUUUAAAGGGAGCGUAGAUGGGUUGUUAAGUCAGUUGUGAAAGUUUGCGGCUCAACCGUAAAAUUGCAAUUGAUACUGGCAGUCGUGAGUACAGUUGAGGUAGGCGGAAUGCGUGGUGUAGCGGUGAAAUGCUUAGAUAUCACGAAGAACCCCGAUUGCGAAGGCAGCUUACUAAACUGUGACUGACAUUGAUGCUCGAAAGUGUGGGUAUCAAACAGGAUUAGAUACCCCAGUAGUC